UUGUGAUCUGUGGGGGAAACCGGAGUACCCGGAGAAAACCCACGCAUGCAUGGGGAGAACAUGCAACUCCACGCAGAAAAGCUACAGCCGAGUUUUGAACCUGCGACCUUCAUGCUGCGAUGCAACAGUGCUAACCCCUGCGCCACCAUGCAGCCCCAGUGAUCUCCAACUGACAAAAGAUCCCCCAGCAUCUCCACUGUCUUGGUGAGGAGCUGCUUCUCUGAGGUCAGAUCCCCUGUGUUUCUCGGGUCAGUUCUCACGCAGGCCUCUAAAGGCACUGGACCCCCCCAGUCUGUUCCACUGGUAGGCCGUAAGGUGUGAGAUAUUCCCAGUGGAAUGUGGCACGUGAGAGCGUUUACAACACGUGAGUAACCUUCCAUCCAUCUUUCAACGUUCAGAAUCCCCUGGCCGAUUGUUUUUGGGUCAAGGAGAAAGCGUCAUAAAAGUUCUACCAAAUUUUUUCUCUCAUUUUCUCCCUCCAUACUGUAUCUUCCUCUUCCUCUCCAAAUUAUAUCUUGUUCUUCCUCAAAGCUCCUCCUCCCUCGCUUUCUCACUCAUCAGACCAUAAUUCACUUCAGUGGGAAGCAUCAUUAAUGCACAGUAGGACUCAGCAGCUUGAUGUGUGCUAAUUAUAUUGUGUGUUUUACACACUGGAUGACUUUUGCUUAGUCAGCGAUGAAACCAGGCUCCGGUAAUUGUUUUUUUGGGUGUGAUGAGUUUAUGAAAUCCUGCAUGAUUAUUUGAGAUUUUAUGUAUAUAUUGUGGGUUUAUUUUCAUGUAUCUGUCAGUGGGU